UGCAGGACACCCAAUAUUUCAGGACCUCAA
rnacentral:piRNA from 1 species